CGCCGCACUUGCGCACAGCCCCUUACGUAACCGUCAGCGCCGGGGAUUCCCUAGAGGGGGUCACUCUAUUCAACCAUUACACACACCCCGCUCUGCCGCCGCCUCACAAAAUGGCGGCGCCCAUAGAGGAGACGGCGGCCGCCGCCGCGGCCCCAUUUUGUGGAGGCGAGAGAUCUGUCAACAUGGAAAACCUCCGCUGAGGAUGCCUCGGAGUUUGGACACGCCGCUGAAGGGAUGGAGUCGAGGGGGAUCUCAUUCGACGGAUCAUGACAGCGACUUGCAGCGCCUCGACGCUCGUGAAAUUUUUUUUUUUCCCGUUUUCUCAAAGGAAACGCCAGAAGCCUCCGGUACGGGUACCAAGGCUCAAGACCCUGAGUGUGAUGCUAACGUUUAAAUGCCUUUCUUUGAAAUUUAAGGUGUGAUAUGUACCUGGAGAAUUGACCUGG